AUUGAACGCUGGCGGCAGGCCUAACACAUGCAAGUCGAACGAGUGGCGGACGGGUGAGUAAUGUCUGGGAAACUGCCCGAUGGAGGGGGAUAACUACUGGAAACGGUAGCUAAUACCGCAUACCAUCGGAUGUGCCCAGAUGGGAUUAGCUGGUAGGUGAGGUAACGGCUCACCUAGGCGACGAUCCCUAGCUGGUCUGAGAGGAUGAGCAGCACGAUUGGAACUGAGAGACGGUCCAGACUCGUCCGGGAGGAAGCAUGGGGGAAUAUUGCACAAUGGGCGCAAGCCUGAGGAAGCCAUGCCGCGGUGAUGAAGAAGGCCUUCGGUUUGUAAAGUACGUUCAGCGGUGAGGCGUUGCCCCCCGAUGAAUCACCGUCUAACUCCGUGCCAGCAGCCGCGGUAAUAC
rnacentral:rRNA from 1 species